AGCACGGCGGAAGCGUCAGUGCGCGGGGCGCCUCGAGGCGAGCGGGAGACGAGUGGGCUGUGAGGCCGCUGUGGGGCGAAGAGCGACCUGUCCAGUUGGCGCCGCGCUUUUAGAGCACGUUUCCUGUUUAAAUUAUCCCUAGGAGUACUUAAAAAUAUAUAAAUAAAUAAUCACCCCGCCAUUAUCACACCUCGAAAAGUUAAGCAGUCUGUACGUCUUCUACUGAGAUGCCCAAUGGAUUCACCUAACAAAACCAGGACUAGGCCUGGAGUCAAGAAUUACAAUCAAGCCAACUGGGUCUGACUGAGGAUAUGCCGUAUCCUGAGUUACUUUGUCCAAGGCAACACUUCUCUUAUCAGCAAAGCCUCCAGUUUUUAUGGCAUUUAAUGCAGUGUGCUGGGGAGCUCUUCAGUUGAUUUCACUGACCUUCCUGUUAGGCCUGCAAUUACUGUCUCCCCAGGCUGUAAAAGACCCUAGGGGCACACAGUUCUGUGGCAUCCACUUGGAUCAGCAGGAAGGCUAGGAGGCAAGAGAGAAAACAUCAGGUUUGAAGAUCAAAGAGAUUCAUUGUGGCUGGAACAUGAAACAUGAAGGAAUUCUGGUGAGAGAUGAGGCUGGAAAGGUAUAUGGAAGCCAAGUCAUGCGGAGUCUCCUCAUUUGGUUAAGGCAUUUGGACUUCAUCCUAAAAGCAGAGUGGAGCCACAGAAGAAUUUUUAGUGAGAGGUUCUGGUCCCUCUGAGGAUUUUGCCUAUACCAGAGAGAAUGAGAAGAAAUCCUCUUCACACACUGUACAGCUGCACUAAAAGCAGCUAGCGGGGAAAUUGACCUAUAAAUACUAUGAGCACAUUAAGUGCUCUGAUGCCCCAGUACCUCCAAGCCUGAGGAAAGCAGUCAA